ACGGAACGCUAGGCUUGGCUACUCCGCUAGCCAAGGGACGACCCAUGUCCUAUGGGUCGACGGGGGAGUCGGGGCCACUUACGAAGUGUCCACCCCUCCUCUAAUACCCUUACGAGGCAUCCACUCCUUUGGCACCCCGGGGGUACGAAGGUGCUCACCGAGGGGUACGUUUUCCAACCCCGCAUGCGGCACCUAUUUCCAUGUCAUGGCACGGGCCAUUGCUAGGGAAUUGCCUCCGUUGACUUGACAGCGACUCCUACCUGACGGAACGCCUCAACUCCGCAACUCCAUAACUUCGUCAACCCAAGUGCCUACCAAAUAUGGCCCUCAAAGGUGUCACGGUCGAGUCCCAGCGAUCGACCCGUGACAGGCUCCCCCACUUGAAUCAUCGACGUCCUCGUCGAUGCUCUUCCACCUCUUCAAACUCUUUGCCAGCAGUACUACUCUUUCAGACCAGAGCCACCCACGGCCUUGGCAUCGCAUGCCACGCUGACCUGCUCUCGAGUUCGUCUGCUCAACAACGCUUCUGAAAAGCCCAUUGGUCCUUCUUGACCAUCCACUAGAUGUGCAUGUUCUGUCCCACCCUGAGUUAGAGCUCCCCAGCCUUGGUGCCUCGCUCGCACCACACUAACUCCUCCACGGAACCAGAACUCAAAGCUCAUAAUCCCUCGGAUUGCAAGAUUGUACUGGCACUCUUCCUUAACUUGGUUCUCUCCAUCGGAGCUACUCGGCCUCAACGCCCACUUCGCCCUGACUUAACCAAAGUUCCACGAGUCCAGUAGUCAACCUUAUAACUCCUUCUCAAGGAAAUAGUCCUCCGACUAAACUUCCCCUCUCUGGGAUUCAAGGUCAUAUAUCCAUCGACCUUGGACUUAGGGGUUAGACUCCAAACGUCCCUCGUCUUGGAGUUCUCCACGCGAAUCAGCACGCUGUUCGUCUUCGCCUUUGCCCCUAAUCAACAUCAGAUUUCAUGCCUCUCCCUAGGCACCUGCGACAGAUCCUCGAUCCGACGUUCCCAGUCUUAUACGGCGAGUCCUUCCACUCGACUCCCGAUCUCAUCUGCGGCGAGUUCCUCCACUUGCACUCCCGCUCACACAUACGGCGAGUUCCUCCACUCGAACUCCCGUCCCCAUAUGCGACGAGUUCCUCCACUCGAACUCCCGCUUCAGUGUAUGAAAGAUUUGUCUUAUUGAAUUUUAUAGGUACAACUCUUGUGGGUAUUCAUGCCAUACUCGUGCCCUCUCCGCAAACAACUUUUGCCACCCCCAAUGCCUCCACAAUCGCACAACGUUGAGCUCCACCCAUGGUCUCCUCAAGCUUUCAAGAUUUUCGUCGGGACUAGCCGGCCUCGACUACUUUCUGCUCUACUGACUUCACCACGGACCCUUGUCAUGCCUCCUGACUGCUUUGCAUUUCGACUACUUGUUGAUGCACGGCACCUUUAGCCUUUGUCCCACAAACCCGCUCAAGCCCUACUUCGUUAGGCUCUCGCAGAACUCCACUUUGAUUCGCAAUCAAAGUAUUCGGCCAAGUUCGAGCCUAUCGGACGCCUUGUCUCUUUUCGCUCGCAACUUGCCAUAUCCCAACUCUAGGGAGACCACCCUCAUGGUUGAUCGCUGAGCGGAACUCAGUUCACUCUCUGCUUAGUCUGAACCGCAAGUCUGGUUGCCACGGCAAUGCCGCUACCCUGCGCGCACCGCCCUUACAGAACUUCGAUACCUCGACCCUUCCCGCAGUUGCGAACUGUCCAUACCCCAACCAACACCAUGAUCUCGGGCGAAUCCACACACCGCUCAACCCGACUAAGGAUGUCUCAUCGGUCCAACUCGUGGGCACAUUGUAAAGAGCAACCGAUCUCCACACCGGCCUUCUCGCACCAAGAGAAGUGCUAAGCUCUCUCGCAAUCCUUGGUCCCCUUCACAACUUAGUCCAACGCCUAGCUGUUACUACCAUGGAUUCGUCGGCCUAGACUUCCAACUUGAGCUCCACGAAGCGAACUCUUUUACCACAUGUGUUGUAUCCCACAUCCUGUCAUAGACGAGCUCCUUCACCGAGUCAUUCCACAUGGGAGCACUUAAUGACCAAGCGUGCUCCCCCACUCUGAGUCGCUCCACCACCAAGCGCACUCAGAUCUCCCCGGCAUUCUCAAUGCCCCACAUUCUGCCCUUGUAGCUCCGGCUCUGCCACAACCUUCACUGAUCCCUCAAGCGGAACCCAUGUCAUCCAUCCAAUGGAUACAUGUACGCUACCUCGAGCCGCCAACGCUGUCACCGUUCUGCUCGAAGCUAGCCUUGCCACCUCACUCCGCGAGUUAAGGUUCCAACCUCAAUCCAUUCUCUCGCACAAGGAUGCCUUCUCUUUCCAUAUCAUGGGCACACUCCAAAGAGUCAUCGAUCUCCCCAUCGAUCUUCCUUUACCAAGAGAGAAGUACUGGUCCAUCGAGUAGCCUUUUGGUAUUCCCGCAACUUUGGUCGAAGCUGCUCCCAACGAAGACUACUGCCCGUCAGACUUCAAACUCAGCUUUCACGAAGUAAACUCUUUCGCCCAGUGUUUCACCACCCAAUCCAUAUCCUUUCGAGAAGCACCAUCGUCGAGGGUUCACAUUCAGGAAUACAUCUCCACCUGAUGUACUCCCCCACACUGAGUCGUAGCACCUCUGCACAACUCAGGUUCCUCGGGCAUUCGCAAUACCCAACUCCGCGGCAAACCCAACCACGGACCGCAAACUGAUUCUUCAUAAUCAUUGCCCCAUCGUCUGCCACACGACUAAGGCCUUAACCAUUUCUCCAUCUUGAGAAUGACUUGGAAAUCCUCACAGGGUACCGACAUGAAUUUGGCUAUCACCCCACCACGAGUCCACACCAACAGACACUCCCUCGCAAGGCCCGCAAUAGACUGGGUCUCCGAGCUCCUCGCUGUUACCUGACUCUCAUCCAUGCGUAGUGCAAGUCCGAACCGCCCGGCUUCACUCACCGUAAAGAAUUCGUGGGUAGCACCAAUAUCCAUCACAACUCAGCUCCGCAUCUCUCACAAGCGAAGUAUUGCCCCGAUGCAUUGUCGGCUCCAAGUCCUUCCGUCAGAGUGACUCUGCUCACUCCAACGUCGCCGCCAAGGUCGCACCUUUCGGCCAAACUUCCUUCCCAAAUGAGCUCAACAUAGCUCUGAUACCACUUGUCACGGGGUUAGCUUUUUCGCCUCAAAAAUCCCCGCGCGGCGCUCAAGUGUCGCACACCCGAGCCAGCCUUCUCGAGUCCCUUACGCGGACAAGUCUCCCAGACUUAACAGCGGAAUACCAAUCCAAGCAUUUUGCCAAGCUUGCUCCUCCCCGAGACUUACAGCCCGAUCCUUCGCCUGUAAUCGAACCCCUCGUCGAACUCCCCGAGUUCCCAACGAGCAACCCCAAUACCGAGGUUGGCCACCAAGUUAGGUGUCUCCCGUCUUGCCAACCGGUCUCUCCUCGAGAGUGCCUCAUAACCGAAUGCCUUGCUGCCUUCGUCGCCAGCCCAAGGACAUUACAAGUUCUCCCCCAACUUGUACAAUAUGAGUAUAGCCAAGCGUCUCGCCUCCCACGCGUUUCGCCCCCGCGACUCAAUCCGCAUGCCUCUAGCGUCGAGGUCCGGGCUUCGCGACAUCGCAUGCCACGAAGGGCACUCAUAACCAUAAGUUCCUCACCAUCGUGUCUCAUGCGCCUGACAAUGCCCAUGGCCAUACCGCAUCCGCGGCCUGCUCGCUCGGUCCAACGGCUUACCUCCGAAAAGCCACCCAAGUGUGCGCCACACAAGCUUGCUUGUCCCCAACAUCAGCACCUCAGCAUGACACCCCGCACGUCCAUGCUUCGCACCUCCGUGCUUCGCAUUCGACCCGUGCGGCCCUCGUGUCCCAUCGCUCCUGACAAGGGAACCAACAAGUCCACACCGUGCUUCUCGACCGUCUUAACGACCCUCGCUUUGCCACGGCGCUCCGCGCCCUCGACUCCCUUAGGUUCGCCUCAUAAGGCCCCAUACAAACGAACCGGCCUCGCUCCGCAUCGCUAGCCACUGGCCCCUCCUUGGCUCGACCACGCCUGGCCGCUUACACAAUAGGUCCAGUCUCUCAAGGCUCACUAUACGGAUACCGAUACCGCUUGCCCCCUUGGGUUCCGCCCCUCGAGUCUCGUAGGCUACCCACCUUACGAAUUCUCCCUCGGCGUGCCUCCCUUUAGCGUCCCUAUCGAGUCUUGCCUUCUUGGCCUUCGUGGGCGCCGCGCCCCACGAAUCCCCGCUCGGCACACUUGCCUUCGCGAGCCUUGUCCUUUACGGAGGACCGUCCGUCGCUAGACUAUCCCUCAUCCGCUCGUACGCUCCACUACAGAGAUCCAAGCCGGCAUAAGGUAGCGCAAGCGAUCCUAGGGAGGAAGCCUCCCGGUAUUCCCCGCUCCGUAAUGUCGUCGACCUCUCUCGUCUCCGACAUUACCCUAGGCCCGUGUCCCUUCAACCGUCCAUUAACCGGCUACACGGAACGCUAGGCUUGGCUACUCCGCUAGCCAAGGGACGACCCAUGUCCUAUGGGUCGACGGGGGAGUCGAGGCCACUUACGAAGUGUCCACCCCUCCUCUAAUACCCUUACGAGGCAUCCACUCCUUUGGCACCCCGGGGGUACGAAGGUGCUCACCGAGGGGUACGUUUUCCAACCCCGCAUGCGGCAUCUAUUUCCAUGUCAUGGCACGGGCCAUUGCUAGGAAAUUGCCUCCGUUGACUUGACAGCGACUCCUACCUGACGGAACGCCUCAAUUCCGCAACUCCAU
rnacentral:lncRNA from 1 species